CUCGUUGGGCAAGCCUUUCAAUUUCAUUUAGUGUAAUACAGCAAUUUUCUCAUUUGCAUCCUCUUACAUAUUCUGCCAGGCGCUUCGUUUCCCGCGUCUUCCCCAAGCACCCCCGCGCGCUCGCUCUUCUUAACCACUGAUCUAUAUAAAAACACUGUAGUGUUGCACUGUUGCUAUUUGCUGCCGAGCGUUAGCUCGGCAGCACACUAUUCUUGACAUUCACUUGUGCCCAGUCUCUUUGGCCGAAUUAUGUAUUGUCGACGUGAAUCGAGAUUUGUUCAAAACUGGUUCAAAAUUUGGAUGUCCGUCGGCAAACCGGGCGGCCACGGGGGGUGACACAUCAGGGAAACGCGAAUGCUAAUGAACCUUAUGAACGUGUCGUCGUGUCUUCACAGUCUUGAAAAAUAUAUUCGAUGUGUCAGAAAGUGAGUCAUAAUUUUUAAGGUAUUACAAGUGCAGUUUAUAUGUUAUGCCACAACUUUACUGGUAAUAUUCGUGGAAGUAUUCAUCAACGUACGGUUUUGAGACUUCGUCUACUGUUUAGACUGUCUUUAGUUCCUGCUAAAUAUUAAAUAUAAACAUUUUAUAUGCCGGCUGAGUCAAACAACCUGCCCAGUUUGCCUUUGAUCAGUGUUCGAACAAAUGCAUUAAAAGUGAUUAGCCUAUAUCUGUAAGUUUAGUUUAUAUAUUCAGUGUUUUAAAAUUUUAUAUUGAUGUAUUAUAAAAUGAACUCGCGAAUGAAAUCAGUGGUCAUCCUCACUGAUUUCAUAAUAUAGCGGACUGUCAUGAAUAGCCAACACUGACUGGUCCAAUUUAAAAUUUGCAUUAUAACGACUGCAUGGCAUGACGACAGCCAGGGAUGCCGGAAGUUGCUGGGGGCAAGGGGUGCAAUUGGUUAACAAGAGGGCAUAUUCCUUAACAAAAGGGCACUAAUGAAAAUAAAAGGGCAUCUAAAAAUUAUUUUUGGCGACCUCCCCCCUCCACCCCCCCCCC
rnacentral:lncRNA from 1 species